UACGGAGGGUGCAAGCGUUGUCCGGAUUUAUUGGGUUUAAAGGGUGCGUAGGUGGCCCGGUAAGUCCGUGGUGAAAGCCUCUUGCUCAACAAGAGAACUGCCAUGGAUACUGCCGGGCUUGAGUCCAGACGAGGUUGGCGGAAUAGAGGCUGUAGCGGUGAAAUGCAUAGAUAGCCUCUAGAACCCCGAUUGCGUAGGCAGCUGACUAGGCUGGUACUGACACUGAGGCACGAAAGCGUGGGGAGCGAACAGG
rnacentral:rRNA from 1 species